AAGUGGAAUAAUAGAAAACUGAAGUCGAUAAUGAAAUAGUUCCUUCUCGUUCUCUUCAAGCACGUUGUGGAAAGAAUCCUGUCACUGAUAGAGGUCGAAAUUCACUUCUUUCCUUCUGCCCACAUGUUCUUUAUGAUAAAGAUCGUCAAGAAAGCGGUGGAGUUGAUACCAAAUGACUUAUUUGAUUAUGUGGAUACAAAUCAAC
rnacentral:lncRNA from 1 species